GCAUUCAUGGUCCAGCGGUAGGAUAUUUGCCUUCCAUUCUAGUCCUAUUUGGUACUAGCGGAGGUAGCAAAUGGCUCGGGUUCGACUCCCGGUGGAUGCA